UUUAGUUGCUUUAAAAUUAUUUACUUUAUUAUUUAUACUAUCUUCCAGAGCACCAGUGUUUCUUACUAUAUGCUUCUUCACCUUUCCCCAGUAGUAUUCACGGUUUCCAAAAGAUACCAAAUAGCACUUCCUAUCUGUAUUAGUCCAUUCUCACGCUGCUAAUAAAGAUAUAACCGAGACUGGGUAAUUUGUAAAGAAAAGAGGUUAAAUAUAUGUGUUCAUUUGCAUAACCUUUUGUUAGGUUUUCUGUUACAUGCAGCUAAGUUCAUUCCUACAUGUUAAAAUUGCAAAAGGAUAUAACCAAAUUCCUUGAUGUGAUAAAUGAGAGCUUUCAUAAAUACUAAAGGACAUCUUGGUUAUUUCCAAGUUUUGGCAUUUAUAAAUAAAAUUGUUAUAAAUGCCUUUGCAGGUUUUGUGUAGACAUAUGUUUUCAACCCCUUUAGGUAAAUACCAAAAGGAAAAUUGGCAGAAUCAUAUGGUAGGAGUGUGUUUAGUU
rnacentral:lncRNA from 1 species